rnacentral:rRNA from 1 species
CAGCCGCCGCGGGAAAACAGAGGGUGCAAGCGUUAAUCGGAAUUACUGGGCGUAAAGCGCGCGUAGGUGGUUUGUUAAGUUGGAUGUGAAAUCCCCGGGCUCAACCUGGGAACUGCAUCCAAAACUGGCAAGCUAGAGUAUGGUAGAGGGUGGUGGAAUUUCCUGUGUAGCGGUGAAAUGCGUAGAUAUAGGAAGGAACACCAGUGGCGAAGGCGACCACCUGGACUGAUACUGACACUGAGGUGCGAAAGCGUGGGGAGCAAACAGGAUUAGAUACCCCUGUAGUCUCUGUCUCUUAUAA